rnacentral:piRNA from 1 species
UGGGAUCAAUAGGAAGCACAUGUUCAGGU